rnacentral:rRNA from 1 species
UACGUAGGUGGCAAGCGUUGUCCGGAUUUAUUGGGCGUAAAGCGAGCGCAGGCGGAAAGAUAAGUCUGAUGUGAAAGCCCCCGGCUUAACCGAGGAAUUGCAUCGGAAACUGUGUUUCUUGAGUGCAGAAGAGGAGAGUGGAACUCCAUGUGUAGCGGUGGAAUGCGUAGAUAUAUGGAAGAACACCAGUGGCGAAGGCAGCAUACCGGCGCCCGACUGACGCUGAGGCACGAAAGUGCGGGUAUCGAACAGG